rnacentral:rRNA from 1 species
GACGAACGCUGGCGGCGUGCUUAACACAUGCAAGUCGAACGGUGAAGCUCCAGCUUGCUGGAGUGGAUCAGUGGCGAACGGGUGAGUAACACGUGAGCAACCUGCCCCUGACUCUGGAAUAAGCGCUGGAAACGGCGUCUAAUACUGGAUACGAGAAGGGUCCGCAUGGGCACUUUCUGGAAAGUUUUUCGGUUGGGGAUGGGCUCGCGGCCUAUCAGCUUGUUGGUGAGGUAAUGGCUCACCAAGGCGACGACGGGUAGCCGGCCUGAGAGGGCGACCGGCCACAAUGGGACUGAGACACGGCCCAGACUCCUACGGGAGGCAGCAGUGGGGAAUAUUGCACAAUGGGCGAAAGCCUGAUGCAGCGACGCCGCGUGAGGGAUGACGGCCUUCGGGUUGUAAACCUCUUUCAGCAGGGAAGAAGCGAAAGUGACGGUAACUGCAGAAGAAGCACCGGCUAACUACGUG